AUUGAACGCUGGCGGCAUGCCUUACACAUGCAAGUCGAACGGCAGCACGGGAGCAAUCCUGGUGGCGAGUGGCGAACGGGUGAGUAAUAUAUCGGAACGUGCCCAGUCGUGGGGGAUAACGUAGCGAAAGCUACGCUAAUACCGCAUACGAUCUAUGGAUGAAAGCGGGGGGAUCGCAAGACCUCGCGCGAUUGGAGCGGCCGAUAUCAGAUUAGGUAGUUGGUGGGGUAAAAGCCUACCAAGCCUUCGAUCUGUAGCUGGUCUGAGAGGACGACCAGCCACACUGGAACUGAGACACGGUCCAGACUCCUACGGGAGGCAGCAGUGGGGAAUUUUGGACAAUGGGCGCAAGCCUGAUCCAGCAAUGCCGCGUGCAGGAUGAAGGCC
rnacentral:rRNA from 1 species